rnacentral:lncRNA from 1 species
GUGGAAUAAAAGAUUAAAAUAUUUUUUCAAUCUAUAUCAUACAUAUAAAAAAUAUAAAACACUAGGAUCUACUUCAUAUGCUGAAAUUGAAUACAUGCUAAAUUUUAUGCUAAAAUUGAAUAUAUGAUCGGAUCACACAUCUAUUUCACAAAUCUUUUCUUCAAAUCUGGAUCUAAAAGAGAGUAGAUUCUCUUCUAGCCAUGCAAGUGUUAGAUGUGUGCCCUAGAUGCC